AAUAUUUCACCAUCAUUUUCCAUCGACUUCUGGGAUUUCUCCGCUUAGAUAUCUCUUCCCCAAAUCUCCCUGCUCCACGCAACAUCAACAAUGGCCUCGAUUCCGCCGCUUCUAGAUCCACUUUCCGUUUCUCACGUCCGUUCCGCCACCGUCUUCCACCAUCAGAUCCCUUGUCUAAUCUCAUCCCCUCCAUCACUUACCUAUAGACUUCCAUCUCCUUGCAUCCUUCCACUUUCUCGUAGACCCACUUUCACCGUCGCCGCAGCAGCUACCUUGACGGGUAACUCCGUACCGCCAAGAAAUGGCGUGUUGAUCGUGGGUGAUUUUAUGACUACGAGAGAGGAGUUACAUGUCGUGAAGGCCACAACAACGGUAGACGAAGCUCUGGAAGCUCUUGUAGAACACAGAAUAACCGGCUUUCCUGUAAUUGACGAUGACUGGAAAUUGGUUGGGCUGGUUUCAGACUAUGACUUAUUAGCACUGGACUCUGUAUCAGGUGCUACUAAAGCUGAUACGAGCAUGUUCCCAGAGGUAGAUAGCACCUGGAAGACAUUCAACGAGGUACAAAAGUUGCUUAGUAAAACGGAUGGAAAGCUGGUUGGUGAUUUAAUGACACCUGCACCUUUAGUAGUUCGUGAAAAUACUAAUCUUGAGGAUGCUGCCAGAUUGUUGCUUGAAACCAAAUAUCGCCGCCUUCCUGUUGUAGAUGGUCAGGGAAAGCUGGUUGGAAUUAUUACAAGAGGAAAUGUCGUAAGAGCCGCCCUACAAAUAAAAAAGGCUGGCGAAACGCAAACAUAAGAUUUGGAGGAAGUGUACGCAGCCUGGCUUGGUGAUUUGAAUGCACGUAGCAAUGAAAUUAGUCACAAAAAUUUUGGUUUCAAAUGAAUCUGUAUCUAGUAUGGUAGGUUAUAAUUACUCAAGUUGGUAAGAAGGAAAUGAGGUGACGUUCAGAAGUACCAAAACCUAAUGGCUAUUGUAUUGAAUGAAGACCAAAUUAUUCCAAGCAAGAAGUGUCAUUCAUUAUAACUCCAUGAAGAUGGUAGGGCCAACCUUCCUCAAUCCCACAUGUCAUGUACCUUUUCAAAAACAUUUUUAUUCCAUAAGUUCAAUUCAUCUA